AACAAGGCGUACCUGCGGACCUGCGGAAGGAUCAUUAUCCAUCCAAAACCAGCUGCGGUCGCGGCCCCACGCUUACCCGUGGCGGUACGCGCCGCACGUCUGCACCCUUUUUUUACGAGUACCUUCGUUCUCCCUCGGCAGGGCAACCUGCCGUUGGAACCAUACAAAACCUUUUUUUGCAUCUAGCAUUACCUGUUCUGAUACAAACAAUCGUUACAACUUUUAACAACGGAUCUCAGA
rnacentral:misc_RNA from 1 species